UACUCUCCCCUGGAGAGGUUAUUCAAAUCUACUAUCCAUAAGCCAUCCGAAAGAAACACCCUUUCUUCUGUACAGAAAAGGGCUAACCAUAUCAUACCAUAGCAGGAAGCUCUGAAUAGUUCCUAUUAAAAAUUUUUAUUCUAUUUGUAAGUUACAACUUUGGUUUGGGAUAAAGAUUUUAUCCAGUGUACUAGCAGGUCUCGGGGCAGGGUAAUUUUAUCUCAGUCUUUCACUUUUAAAUUGCUUCUUCUUUUAAAUUUGGACAAGAAAUCCAAAUCGGAAGCAUUGCUCUCUUAAAAGUCAUGAUUACUCUUAAUGAAAAAUAAAAUACUGAAAGUGGGAGGACAGCGUAUUCCAGCUGUUAUUCCCAUGCUCUUUGUAGAUUUGGCAGUAAUAACCCAGUUUCACUAGUCGUCAUCCAUGGCUUUAUUGUAGGACAGAACAGUUAUGGAACUUCAUUUACUUCCUUUUUUUUUUCCAGAGGUAUGAAACGUCAUCUUAAAUGCAACCUUGAUUAUCAGAAGUAUGNNNNNNNACAAGUUAGACAGAUAGUAUAUAGACAAGUAUAUAUACACAUAUAUUCACACAUAUGUACAUAUAACUGCACAAAUAGGAAAAGUUCCUGCCUUCUAUGCUGUCGGAUUUAAUGUUACAAGGAGUUAGAAUCUCAUUAAGCAAGAUCUAAGCAAUUGCUUAUAUUGAGAAAGCAACCACAUUUCUCAAAUAAGUUAAUGAUGUUUAUUUUAAAUGAUAAACUUUAGGGAAUUUUUUUUUUUAAGGGAGAGGAGGGAGGGGGAAGAAAAAACACCCCAGGAAGCCAUAUGCAUGGAGUAAGUGUUUCCACGUAACGGAGUACUUAGAACUACAAAGGGGACAAGAGAACAUUUAUCAGGUCCCCUUCUGGGUGAUGCCCCAACAGAGUCACCAAGCUUCCCUUUCCACUGUACCGCAGACUUGCAUUCUGACCUCUUAAACACUGCUCUCCAGUAGAUCUUUAUGUUUGACCUUGUAUCUCAACAACUUCACAUGGCCCCCGACCCACAGUCUUUUGAAAUAUGUCCCCUCCGUAACAUUCCCAUUUCUGCCUGUCGAAGAUCUAAAACAGGAGCUGCCUGGUGUGCUUAUCUGAUCUGCAGACAUCAUCCCACGUGUUUUAGCACUUGUGUAUUUUCUUGACCCCUGGUCAUGAUUUUAUAAAUUCUUAUCCCCUUUCCCUCCAAGUUGAGGGCACACUGUGGCCAAAAUCACUAAUUUGAAUAGGAAAAAAAAAAAA
rnacentral:lncRNA from 1 species